rnacentral:lncRNA from 1 species
UAGGCGUGACAAAGCAAGCCCUUAUAACCUAUCCUUGACAGUGUCUCUAGUAUGCCACUCAACUAUUUUUCAACCCUCUGUAUACUUUUCUAAUUCUUUGCCUUUGCACAUGAGUUUUCUCUGUCUAGACAGUAUCACCCUACAUCCUUCCACCCCAUGCCAUGCCUCUGACCAGGUCCUUUCCACCUGGUAAACUUUUAUACAUCUUGCAAACCUACCAUAAAUGAUGUAUUUCUGUGAAGCCUGAUAAUUAUUUGUACAUAUUUCUACCAAAUGCACUUAAAUGACUAUAUUGUGAACAUCUUUAACUUAUUGUUUGUUAUAUCAUAGUUAAGAUCGUGAUGUCUAUUAGAUGUUCUGUUGAAGUAAGAACUAGAGAAAAAACCCUCCGGCUGAAAAGGCAGCUACACACCUGUCAGCAGUUUUGCUCUCCACAUACCACCCUUCUUGCAAUCAUGUAGCAACUACGUGCCUUAUGUCCUUGCUAGCAGCCCUGCUAAUCGUGCUCCAAGCAUUGCUUAUCACAUACUAUUAUAUAUAAAAUAGAUAGCUAACAAGGACCAAGUAUAGCACAGGGAGCUAUAUUCAGUAUGUUGUAAUAAACUCUACUGGAAAAGAAUCUGAAACAGAAUAACCUAUAUACGUUAUAUAUAUGUAUAUAUACAUAUAUACUGUAUAUGCAUAUAUUGCUCUAUUCUUGAAACAAACGCACCAUUGUAAAUCAACUGUACCUCGAUUCAAAAAUAAAGAAUUUUUAAAAAAUAUUUUAAAAGCAAAAAGAACAGGUCUCAUUGUGGGCAGAGGGAACAGCCUGAGCAAAGUUCUAAGACUCAGCCAGGCCGUGUCUGAAGGAAGCAGGUAAACCAAUGUGAGUGGAGGGCGGCUACACGUAAAGCCAGCAGGCAGAAAGGUCCAGGUGGUGGAGGGCCUUGAGUGCUGGACUGAGGGGCAGUUGACUUCUUUCCAGAACUGCUCAGCUGCUGCAAUCCCUUUGGACAAUUGUGCCUGCUGAUUUUCUCACACCGUGAUCCACUUGCUGUACAUUUAAAAGAAGCCCGCCCCACCAAUGGGAACACACAUGUGAGGAGCACAGUGCGUGAAGCUGUGCCAGGCCUCCCAUUAUUCCCCAGAGAAGCUAACCGCCAUACUCACCAAGGACAGCAGAGCCCCUGAGCUCUGCACAGCCCUCUCCAGGGCUCCAGUAACACAGACCAUCCCUGCCUGUUACCUCUGGCUCUACUGCAUGGCGCAUAGCUGGUGCAGAGAGGAGCCACCAUUUCAUGUCAUCUUCCAAUUUCACCUGUCAAUUUAUCAAAGAGAGGGACUUUCUGAGCAGAGCUUCGGCUUCUUAUAAAUGCAUGCCAUCACCGCUCAUCACGCUAAACUCCAUUGUUUGUGCAAAAAUAGGGUUUGGUGUGGAAAGCUGUAAUCAAAAAUAAUUUACUUUUAUUUAUCUUAUUUUUUUUUUUGAAACAAGCAAGUUUUGGGAGGACAGGUACAUCUUGUCUAAGAGACAAAGUCCUGUGAGCUGGCUGAGGAGCUGUCUGAAGAACAAUGCUUCUCUAUAAGCAGUUUGUCACAACUGGUUAGUUUUUAAUACUAUGGAGGUUUCAUUAUGUCCUUUGGAAUUGCAGAGUGUUUAGAGUAGAUGUGUAUUUCUUUGUAGAAGGUAUGCUUUCUGGGAGUAAUAUUGUGGGGCCAUUUUCCUCUCUAAUGCCUCAAAUUCGGCUCUAUUUUUAGCCACUCUAGCACCAAAGAUGAUCUAGAGUCACCUUGUGUACUGCUUUAGCCACUGGCUACAUGUGGCUAUUGGGCACUUAAAAUGUGGCAAAGUGACUAAAGAUUCAUUUUUUUUUAAAGUUCAAUUAAUUUUUCAAAUUUAAAAACUGGUAUUUGGAAUUCCUGCUGUGCUCCAAUGGGAUUGGUGGAAUUUCUGCAGCACCAGGACACAGGUUCAAUCCAUGCCCCUCACAGUGAGUUAAAGGAUCUGGUGUUGCUGCAGCCACAGGGUAGGUUGCAACAGUGGCUCCGAACUGAUCCCUGGCCCAGGAACUCCAUAUGCUGUGGUGUGGCCAAAAAAGGAAAAAAUAAAAACAAAACCCUAAUAUUUGAUUCAGUUAUUGAGACUUUCUGUUAUUGGAUAUACUUGUUUAUGUGAACCUCCUUUUAUUAAAAUUAAAAUUUUUGUGUUGUAAAUUUGCAUGCAGUAAGAAAUAGGACAGAGGAAUCUCAUGUCUCCUUUAUGCAGUUUGUCCAAUGAUAACAUCUUGCAAAAUUACAGCACCAGAUCAUCAGCAGGAUAUUGACAUUGAUGUUACUGGAUUCAGAGCACUUCCAUUACCACAACUAUCCCUGAUGUGUACUUUUCUACUCUUCUAGUCACAUCCACAUCCUCCAUACACCCCCCAUCCCUGACCUUGGCACCCACUAAUCUAUUCUCCUUUCCUACAGUUGUGUCAUUCCAAGAAUGCUGUAGAAAUGGAAUCACAUACGUAGAAUCUUUUUGAGUCUGUGUUCUUUCACUUAAUUCAUUUGAGACUUAUCAAUGUUGUUUCCAUACUUCAAUACUUAGUUCCUUUUUAUGCUAAGUAAUAUACCACCAUUGGUGUAACCAUUGACUUGUUGAAGGACACCUGCAGUUUUUCCAGGUUCAGGCUAUUAUGAAUAAAGCUAUAACAAACAUUUUUAUACAGAUUUUUGUGUGAACACAAUUUUUUAUUUAAAUGGAUAAAUGCCAAGGAGUGCAAGGUCAUAUAGUAGUUGCAUGUUAGUUUUAUGAGAAACUGCCAAAUUGUUUUCAGGGUCACUGUACCAUUUUGCAUUUCUAUCACCAGUGUAUGAGUGAGCCAGUUUCGUUGCAUCUUGGCCAGCAUUUAGUGUUGUCACUUGUCACUAUUUUUUGUUUUAUUCAUUCUGAUAGGUAUGUAGUGUGUGUCUACUUUUCCAACUGUAAAGUUUAUGAAUUCUACAUAGAAAUCAAGUAGUGAAAGUUUAGCAUCCAAAGUGAAAUAUGCAUAAGUAUAGAAUCUAUCCUGGAUUUUGAAGACUUGGUACUAAAAAUGUAAAAUAUCUCAACAUUUUUUUUUAUAUUUGAUAACAUGUUGAAAGGCUUAUGGGAUACAUUGGCUUAGAUGAAAUAUAUUUUUUGUAAUUAAUUUAAUCUGUUUUUUUGUGGCUACUAGAAAAUGUCAAAUUACGUGGUGGCUCACACCAUGUUUCUAUUGGCAAUGGUGGUCUAGACUAAUUGGAUCACAGAGCCCACUGGGCCUCUUGAUGGAGGACCUAAUUUUAUUUAUUGCAGGAGUCAAUAGACAUAUUCUGUGAGAGGCCAGCUGGUAAAUAUUUUAGACAAUGUGUGCCGUAAAGAUACAUAAACUUUAUGUUCUCGGAGCCCAUCUGGUGGGAACCAGUGCCAUGUUGGGAACUGCCAUUAAGGGCUGGGACUGAAGAGGGAAUGGCUGCUCUGUGGGACGAGGCUCAGGAGGAAGUCCAGUGGCUGCCCCUACCUUUUGCAUCUCCAGUCUACCACAGGUGCCUUGCAGGGGGUGGUCCUACAUCAGAAAGGGAAGCUGAGAAAUGUGGUACCCUACAGCGCAGAGCAGAGCCUGGGAUGCAUGGGGAAGACACCUGAGAGCAAUGCCUUUUCAGUGCACAGAUUAGACCUAAAAUUAAAGGAGAGUACGGAGCUUUGAGCUAGCCUAGUGCCCAAGAGCAGCAUUUUGUGCCACACAUUUCCUUCCUUCCUGGCACUCUUUUUAGUGGUUUUGCUAUUUAAUCCCUCAGGGAAGAUGGUUAGUCAAGAAAGAAUAAGAUAAAAGGCCCGAGGACUAGAGUCUUCCGAUGGAGUUAUCAGUUCUGUCAGUAAAUCAUCAGGAGCAGGGAAGAUGUGAUGGCAGUGAUGGAAUGUGACCUGGCAGUGUGUCGCUGAAGGAAGUGAAAAGGCCAUUGAUGGUAUAUGGGUUCAUCUUUGAAAUGACAGCCAUCCAUUGAAGAGUCCCUUCUUUUGUCCUCACUGUUUCCCGUAUGGGUGUUUUCCAGACAUUGAUAACAUUCACUUAUUUGCAUUUGCUUAAAGAGAGAGAUUGCUCCCCGCCCCCUGCCUUUUUUAUAUGUAUUUCUGUGCUGGGUAGUGUUCCUGAACUCAAGAUCUAUUGUCUCACUUUCUUCUCAGGACAGGCUUUCCUGACUGUAGAUGGAUUUGGGGAGAACAGUCUAGGUGUGUGUGGCCCAGGCCCUUCUGGGCUGGUUUCUCAGAAAGCAUGCAUGGCCAUGUUCGGGGUUAUGUGUUUAGGGUCCUCACUACGGUGUCAGCCUGCUUUGGUUGAGAGCAGCCUGUGACAGGGAAGGAGGUGGGGCUUAGUAUUAGUGAGGGUUCUUAGUUGAGCAUCUAAAUUUAUAUCCUCUAAUCAGCAUCCGUGUUCAUCAUACAUGUGCUAUUUAGAUCUCUGUGUAAGUUGCUCCCUGAAUUUGUUUUCUCAGUUGAUUUAAAAUUUAAAAGGAAAAGGGAGAUGUGGUAUUUUUCUCUAAAACCUCCAAAAUUAAGCAACCCCCCCUUCUUAAAAUAGGGAUGACCUGAAAGCCAAAAAUCAUGUAUUAGCAUACCUAUAUUAAAAGUUGGGAGUUCCCAUCAUGGCUCAGCAGAAACAAAUCUGACAAGGAACCAUGAGGUUGCGAGUUCGAUCCCUGGCCUUGCUCAGUGGGUUAAAGAUCUGGUGUUGCCGUCAGCUGUGGUGUAGGUCACAGACAGGCUUGGAUCUGGCAUUGCUGUGGCUGUGGCUGUGGCCGGCAGCAACAGCUCCGAUUAGACCCCUAGCCUGG